UUAAAAGUCAUCUGGGAGUGUUAUUAAAAUGCAGUUUCUGAUUCAGAAGGUAUACGGAGGAGGCUGAGAAUUUAACAUUUCUAAAAAGCUCUCAGAUGAUUAAUUG
rnacentral:pre_miRNA from 1 species